CUCUGGACUGGAGGCAGAGCGGUGCCGUCACCUGGCCAAGGACCAGGGCAGCUUUCCGAGUGGUGGAACGUCUUCGUACAGCGCAGGUGAGGUCGCGUUUCCUCUGCGUUGUACAUUUGGAUCCCGGAUUGUACGGGGAUAACCGCGAUGUUGUCGCCAAUCUCACAUCUUGUUUCUUCAAAUUGUGUUCUUUGAAAUUUGAAGUGUGCAUCUGUGAAUGAUAGUUCCUACAGCGCAGUGUGGUUAGGGGCGACCAAAAGGUAUCGGGAUGUACUGGUUGACAAGGUUUGGUCUACUUUGAUUCCGAUAUAGGCCUCUCUUUCUUCAAUCAUUUACUGUUGCUUUCUUCUCAUUGCUUUGGCAGAUUUCACAACUCGCAAGUUCCUGUGCCCAAAUGUUGAUUUCAAACCUCAGAUCCACAAGAUUGACUAUAAAAUAUAAAUUUCAUUACUGGAUUAUUAAGUGGUUCAGAAGAUUGGUUUCUUUUGCAAGCAGAGGAUUUCCCACACUGUAUGGACCAGAAAUUGAACGUAUUAUUGAUGUCUUUGUUACACGAUCUAUCACCACUCCGACAUCCGUGCCACGUCGGGAACUCCUCUGCUACAUCCUCCUCUCCUGAUUUUGUAGAUGACUAACCUACCAUUUCAAUCUGUGAAAUAUUGCUGAAUUUUGUAAACUGUCAAAUCAUGGUACUUACAACCAAUGGAAACCAUAGAAUUGAUGUUCAUGAAAGUGGACCAAUUACUGUAUUGAGGAAAUGUACCAUGUAAUAUUUAGAGACUUUCAUAUGAGAAUGCUUUGCGCUGCUAGGUGUUGAUGAUCUUUGUAUAUUUCAAUGGGCCUUUGCGAAGGAUCUUCACAUUAAAGGAUCCUCCUAUUCUCAAGAUUAUUCAGGCGAGCAAGCAACUGGCUUUAUCUCUCAAGCAAUUUACUCAUAUGUGUGAUUGGAAAGAUGACUGACAUUUGAUCUACGACACUACUAACUGAAGACGAUUUUAUGUUAUGAGACUUUGGCCUGAUUUCAGAGAUGUACUAAAUUCUGAAGUUUGUUGUAUGACAGUACUAUCUGACAAGUACAUUUGUUCACACUUACUUGAGUGUACCCCAUGUGUCAAUUUGUGGUCUGUGA